AGCAAAAAUGCUUUUGGACGGACGACGAACUUGAUGACAGCUUGAAGUUUUACGCAAUACCAUUCGCCAUAUAUUUAAAAAAAAAAACAGUAUUAAAUACGUAUCAAACCGAAAUUCGUGCAAAUCGAUUAAUCGGUAAACGGGGAUAUAUCCUCUAUGACUUUUUUGAUUUUGUUAAAAAAUGUUUAAAAUUCAUUAUUACCCUCUAUGUAGCCACCCAUGACGCACGCGUUAAAAUCUAAAAUAUUAGUUUGACGAAAAAUUCGACUGAACCGUAUUAUAUAUCCUCGCACAUUAUGAAGGGCAUAAAACAGACCCUAUCGGCCCUUUAUGGGGUCCGUUUUUUUUAUCAAGAUCUACCGACCAAAAUACAUUGAAAUGAAACUCGUUCGGGUUUUUUCGUUA